GACAGGGACGCCACACUUUCUAAUCCAAGAAAGUGAUAAGUCUAUGGAUGCGAGGAUCGCCACAAGAAAUAUGAUUUCUUGAUAAGAUCAAGGAUGGUUCAAUCCAGAACCACAAGAGACAAAGCUCUCAAUACACAUAUGUGUAAAAUUCUAUAAUAUUCAACCUUUUUUUAUUUCAUAGAGAAAGUUACAAUUUAUAGAGUUUUCACAAAGUAACCUAAUGGACUCUAAUAAAUUAAAAUAAACUCAAAUAAAUGGCUGAUUAGCCUUACAUUUAUUCUCUAGAAAUAAAUUAUGAAAACGUCACUAAAGGGAUGUGAGAAGCCAAUUACUUCCUUGAGCUGCACCAAAUAAUUCUAUGUAAGGGUAAAUGAAGUCUGAGGCCGUUUACAACUUUAAUUCUCCCAUGUAGCUGUUAUCAUUCACACAAUCACUACCAUGCAUUUCAUUUCCAAUUGAAUGGGCCAAUAGCAAUUAAUAAUCUCUCCAUUUGAUUGUCAAGCCGUUACUUCUCAAAAUGAAGUGAAUUGGCUCAUUUAAUUCUUGAAGUGUGAGUAGUUUCCAACUGAUUUAUGCAAAGGAAAUACCAAAGGCAAAACUGAACAAUAACCACCAUAAUGCCAACGUGAUUAAUCAUGUUAUUGGCAUUUUUGAACAGUACUAAUAAUUGACCAUUCGUAUAAUAGCCAAAUUAUUUUACUAGGAAAAUAACAUGCUUGUUUGGAAUUAAAAAUGAAUAAAAUAUUCAUUUUUUUUAUAUGUUUCCUUCCACAUGCUUAAUGAGCUCUUGAUCUCAUCACCUAUAGUAGGUUAUUUUGGAC
rnacentral:lncRNA from 1 species